GAUGAACGCUGGCGGCGUGCCUAAUACAUGCAAGUCGAGCGAACAGACGAGGAGCUUGCUCCUCUGACGUUAGCGGCGGACGGGUGAGUAACACGUGGAUAACCUACCUAUAAGACUGGGAUAACUUCGGGAAACCGGAGCUAAUACCGGAUAAUAUAUUGAACCGCAUGGUUCAAUAGUGAAAGACGGUUUUGCUGUCACUUAUAGAUGGAUCCGCGCCGCAUUAGCUAGUUGGUAAGGUAACGGCUUACCAAGGCAACGAUGCGUAGCCGACCUGAGAGGGUGAUCGGACACACUGGAACUGAGACACGGUCCAGACUCCUACGGGAGGAAGCAGUAGGGAAUCUUCCGCAAUGGGCGAAAGCCUGACGGAGCAAAGCCGCGGGAGUGAUGAAGGUCUUAGGAUCGGAAAACUCUGUUAUUAGGGAAGAACAAAUGUGUAAGUAACUAUGCACGUCUUGACGGUACCUAAUCAGAAAGCCACGGCUAACUACGUG
rnacentral:rRNA from 1 species